rnacentral:rRNA from 1 species
AGAAUCAACGCUGGCGGCGUGCCUAACACAUGCAAGUCGAACGAGAAAGUGGAGCAAUCCAUGAGUAAAGUGGCGCACGGGUGAGUAACACGUGACUAACCUACCCUUGAGUGGGGGAUAACCUCGGGAAACCGGGGCUAAUACCGCAUAACAUCGAGAGAUCAAAGGAGCAAUUCGCUUAAGGAGGGGGUCGCGGCUGAUUAGCUAGUUGGUGAGGUAAUGGCUCACCAAGGCUAUGAUCAGUAUCCGGCCUGAGAGGGCGCACGGACACACUGGAACUGAAACACGGUCCAGACUCCUACGGGAGGCAGCAGUGGGGAAUUUUGCGCAAUGGGGGAAACCCUGACGCAGCAACGCCGCGUGGAGGAUGAAGUCCCUUGGACGUAAACUCCUUUCGAUCGGGACGAUAAUGACGGUACCGGAAGAAGAAGCCCGGCUAACUUCGUGCCAGCAGCCGC